CAAAUUUGACACUUGUUUGUUGUUGUAUUUCCGUAUAUUUUUGUGGAAUUUUCUUAUAAUAUCGUAUAUUUGUUUAAUAUUUGUUGCGUUUUUAAGUAUAUAAGGACAAUAUUACCGUAAAUACUUAUUUGGGUCCUAUACAAAGACAGUAAUGACUUGUGAAGUGUGUUUUCGUAGCCGUGAUAUAAAGAUGAGUGGCGGUAACAUUUUAGCGUAGCUAUAGUAGAAACAACUCCAAAAUUCCUGAACCAGAUGGAAACAGAAUAAUGUUUUUUACAUUUCCCAAAUACCAUUAUCAAACAAUGGAUAAUAAAAUGUUGCCAUAAAGAUAAACGGGCCUGUGAACAUAGAAAAUAUGUAGCAAACACUUCCUCGUGUCUGAAUGUGUUAAUAUUAUGUUAUGUGUUUUUUGUAUUUUAACCUACCUACCUCAGUGGUUGGCAAACUUUUUAGCCAAAGAGCCAAAUAUGAACAUUACAACAAUUUAAAAAAAUUGGGAGCCAAAUCUGCUUGUUCAGCAAACUUUUAUUACACUAAAUAAAACUAAAGGGUCUAGCGACAUUCUAAAAAUAAAAAAACCACUUGUUCUAUAAUAAAAAGUAUUCGACUAAAAAAAUUUUUAAAAGCCCAAUCCACAAGCCCCCAAAAACUUAAAUGUGUUUUUGUGUAGAAAUUUCUAUUUUCUUUCGUUUUGUAAGGUUUUAUUUUCUACAACACUGUAUCAUUUUCAAAAAAUUUUUCACAAAAUCCAUUUUUUUAAUGUUGAUGUGUAGAACAGAAAAGGGAAAGAACAGCAAACGAACUUUUUCAGCUGAUUAUAAGAAUCAGGAAUACUGUUUCAAGCGUUGAAAAUGAUCAUGUCUUCCUUUUCCAGGUGAUUCAAAGUAGACCACUUGUGUUGUGAAUAUUUUUUCCUUCUCCAAUAUUUCCAAUUUAACACAAAGACGUUCGAAAUUAGAGCGCCAUAACUCCUUGUUCUUAAAUCCAGAAAUUGUAUUUCAAAGCUAUUAAUGCCAAUUUCAAAAGGAGAAAAUUUCAACUCGGUUAUUGUAGCAUUAAGAGGAUUGUUGACAAAUGCUAAAAAGAUUGAUAAAAGUUAAUUUAUCAGAAUAAGAUGUAGGUACAAUGUUUUCCUACCAAGUUUUUUUUAAAUGAAAAUAUUAUUGCGCUUUCCGUGGAUAUUUGUGCCAGAGCCGCACCUAAGGAGCAAAAGAGCCACCUGCGGCUCUGGAGCCGCACUUUGCCGACCACUGACCUACCUAAUAAUAAAUUAUUUAUAUUA